CCGUGACCGACCCUGCAGGACUUUUGUCGUCUUGACAACCUAUACUUAUUUCGAUUAGGUACAAAAGCAAGAAAAAGAAAAUAUGGGGUGGAGAGGCUGUCUGAUCUGAAUGAAUGAGACACAGAGCUGUUUACAGGAGGAGGUGUGGUUGAAUCCUCCAGUGUGGUGUUUUGUAAUGUUGUGAUAUGCUGGCAUGGGCAUCUGGAGUGGCAAGGGAGGCGUGACCUCAAGGAAUGUGGGGAAUUUUUUUGUGUAAACUGAAGUGAGCCAGAUUUUUUGCUCUAAGAUGCCACGGAGUGCUCUUAUGACCACAAAGACUGUUUUGGGAUGCUGCUGACCAUACUACUGUAGUGUAGGUUAUUAUUACAGUGAAAGCUGCAAGGCUAAAGACCAUAGUGUUUUGGUUUAAGGAUAAGGUGUCGUCUAUGGACACUGGAAUUAUGGGAUGGAGCUCCAUGGACAACGUUCUGGCAUUGAGUUGGCAACUUCUGCACUUCUUUCAGGCUUUCAGCCUUCCAUGUUCCAGCAGUCCAUCCUCUGUCCAUGUGCAGGUGGCGUUUCUGUGUUUUCCAUCUCGGACAGAUCAGUUUUAUACACUUUUAUUGGGAAACAAGGUGCCAUGCAAACACCAUUCCUCUCACAUGCUCACAUGCUCUUAAAAAUAAAGGAUUUGUACUGCCAUUGAUGGUUCCAUGAAGAUUAUUUAGCAUCUGUGGAACCUUUGAAUGGUUCUUUAAAGUUUCCAUUGGACAAAAAAAAAGUGCUAAGGGAAAUGGUUCUUUUAAGAAAUGUUCACUGAAAGGUUCUUCAGGGAACCCAGAAUGGAACUUCUUUGGCAUCUCGGUCUUAUAAGAGUGCACACUGAUAAUAUUGUGACCCUGGACCUCUAAACCAAUCAUAAGUAGCACGGGUAUAUUUGUAGCAAUAGCCAACAAUAUAUUGUAUCAGUCAAAAUUAUCGAUUUUUUUUUUAUGCAAAAAAAUCAUUUGGAUAAGAUCAUGUUCCAUGAAGAUAUUUUGUAAAUUUCAUCCUGUAAAUAUAUCAAAACUUAAUUUUUGAUUAGUAAUACGCAUAGCUAAGAACUUCAUUUGGACAACUUUAAAUGUGAUUUUCUCAUUAUUUUGAUUUUUCUGCACCCAUAGAUACCAGAUUUUUAAAUAGUUGUAUCUCAGACAAAUAUUGUCCUAUCCUAAAAAACAUACAGCAAUGGAAAGCUUAUUUAUACAGCUUUCAGACGAUGUUUACAUAUCAAUUUAAAAAAAUGGACACUUAUGACUGGUUUUGUGGUCCAAGGUCACAUAUGAUUAAUUGAGUCUCUCCCCCUCUGUCAGGUGCUGAGCAGUACUGCAGUGUGUGAAGACGUGUGUGAGUGUGUAAUGAAGUUCAGAGCACCACAAGUUUCUGAGGAGCUGGGAUUCAGUCUACAAUCAUACAAUGAUACAGAACUGCUGGAUGCCAAGACUUUCCACCUUGGUAACUCUGAAGACAGAGAAAUUGAAUGUUACCUAUGGUCAAACACACUAUUUUCCUAUUUAAUACUGUAAAGUUGCUUUGACACAAUCGUUAUUGUUAAAAUCGCUAUAUAAAUAAAGGUGACUUAACUUGACA
ensembl:lncRNA